rnacentral:sRNA from 1 species
AUCGAACAGCAGCAACCGGAGCAAGCCACCAUGUUUUUUCUGGACAACCCACAGACCGUCGUAACCGUGGCCUACGUCAGCGCCAGCAUGCUGACCCUGUUCUUCAUCAGCAUGGGCCUCUUCCUCUGGAAAGACUCGCAGCACUAAGAGUUGCAGCUUUUCACAACGAGCACGCAAGGCAUUUUGGGCGACUUCGGUCGCCCAUUUUUUUU